rnacentral:rRNA from 1 species
GACGAACGCUGGCGGCGUGCCUAAUACAUGCAAGUCGAACGCAGUGGGGACGGGUGAGUAACACGUGGGUAACCUCCCAUCAGAGGGGAUAACACUUGGCAACAGGUGCUAAACCCAUACUGAUGUAGCGACCCGCGGUGCAUUAGCUAGUUGGGGAGGUAAAGGCUCACCAAGGCCACGAUGCCAAGCUGACCUGAGAGGGUGAUCGGCCACACGGGGACUGAGACACGGCCCAGACUCCUACGGGAGGCAGCAGUAGGGAAUCUUGGGCAAUGGACGAAAGUCGGACGGAGCAACGCCGCGGGAGUGAAGAAGGUUUUCGGAUCGUAAAAUUCUGUUGUAAGAGAAGCGGUACCUAACCAGAAAGCCACGGCUAACUACGUGCCAGCAGCCGCGGUAAUUC